UAAAGCUGAGUAUGAGGCCGUCAUCAUAGCUAUGGAACUCGCCAUAAAUCUCGAGCUUGAAAAUAUCAAAAUUUAUAGUGAUUCCCAGUUGGUGGUUGAGCAAAUUGAAGGGACGUUCGAUAGAAAGGAUGAAAAGAUGAGCUUAUACUGCUUGAAAGUGCAUGAUCUCCAGAGAAAGUUUAAGAGUUGUAAAAUUGUAAAAAUUUCUUGGGCUGAGAAUUGUAGGGCAGAUACCUUGUCAAGAUUGGUGUUCAUGGGAAUAGAUGGGCUUCACAAGACAGUCCAUGUCAGAAUUGUAACCAAGCCAAGCAUCAAUCAGACCAUAGGCGUCAUGGAUAUUGAUAAUGAGCCAUCAUGGAUGGACCCAAUAGUGGACUUCAUAAAACAUGGUAGUCUUCCAGCAGAUCCUCAGGCAGUGAGAAGCAUCCGGUCCAAAGCUCUGAGGUAUUGCAUAAUUGAAGGCAUUUUAUUUUGCAGGAGCCUCACACUUCCGUACCUCAAAUGCCUUAGGCCUUCUGAAUCAUCCAAGGCCCUAGAAGAAGUUCACUAAGGUGUAUGUAGGAACCAUCAAGGAGCUCGGGCAUUAGCCUUCAAGCUCAUAAGGUAUGGAUAUUAUUGGCCAACCAUGAAGAAAGACGCCCAGGAAUAUGUCAAGAAGUGUGACAAGUGCCAAAGAUUUGGCAAUGUCAUCCACCCUCCCGCAGAAGACCUCACUAGCAUUAGUUGCACAGCCCCAUUUGAGCAGUGGGAAAUUGACAUCCUUGGUCCCUUUCCAAUAAGUAGGGGACAAUUGAAGUUUGUGGCUGUGGCUGUAGAGUAUUUCACUAAGUGGGUAGAGGCCGAGCCUUUAGCAACAAUUUCAGAGCCGAAGGUAAGAAGUUUCAUUUGGAGAUCCAUCAUAUGCAGGUUCGGGAUACCAGAAGUCCUCAUAACUGAUAAUGGCAGGCAGUUUGACAAUGCACAAUUUAAAAACUUUUGUACCGACCUAGGUGUUGAUCACUGUUUGACGUCGGUUUCCCAUCCUCAAAGUAAUGGUCUCGUCGAAGUGACCAAUCGGAUUAUAUUGCAAGACCUCCGUACAAGGAUUGGCGAUGCAAGAGGUUCCUGGUCUGACGAGUUGCCUUCCAUACUUUGGAUGUAUAGGACGUCACACAGAACUGCUAUAGGGGAAACCCCCUUCAUGUUGGCUUUUGGAAUUGAGGCCACCAUCCCUGUUGAAGUCAGGUUGCCCAGCCAAAGGAGGCUCGAGCUCGAAGAUGCAGGGCGCACCACUGAACACCUCGACCUCUUGGAAGAAGCUCGUGAUAGGGCAGCUUUAAAAAUGGCCUCCUACCAGGAUAAAACAGCAAAGUACUUCAAUAAAAAAGUAAGGAUGCGGAGAUUUAGAGCCGGAGACUUUGUGUUAAG
rnacentral:lncRNA from 1 species